UUGGUUACUACAACCUGUUGAAAGAAAAGCUUAUAAAUGUUGACAUGAAGUAAAUCCCAUGUCUUCUAAUUUGAGAGCUUAUUCAAUAAAUAAUGAAAUAACGAUGAAUUGACACUAUGAAACGGAUGUUAUUGUUUUUUUUUAAAACAGGCUACAUGAUGGAAUCAUUAUGUUGUGACUGAUCAAAUGAUUUUGUGGUCCAUACAAUGUUAUAACGCAUACUCUAGUGUUGUUAAUUACACUCUGUGAAAAGGCUAUGAAUAGCAUUCCUACUUAGAUGCAAACCUUUAUUAGAAGGUUUCCUAUUGGCUUUGUCUGAAAAACAAAGUUAUCAUAAUCUUGCCUCGUGUCAUAGUUAUUCUGAUUUUUAAAGAUCUUGAUUGUAAAUGUUCAUUGAUGAGAAAAUACAUAGUGGGAAGGCCAUUUUUAUAAUCACCACGUGUGCAAGGCUCUUUGAGAGUGCAUAUAGGCAUUGGUUAACUUAGUUGUGUGUGUUUUGCCUGUUGUAAUCUCUGGACAUGAAUCUUCUUUCAGGCAUCAACUCCAACUACCUUUAACAGUUUGACAUUGCUUUAGCUUGAGUAUCCAAAUUUGUUAAGAUAAUCAAAUUACCAUACAGAAGUUAAUUCUUUCUUAAAAUAUCCCUUGUGAAUUGUGAUAGGUUUGCUAAGCAAUUUGUGCAGUUUCAUACUUCCUUGAUUAAAGCUAGUUAAGUUUGUAGGUUCCUUUCUAAAAAUUUUAUGUCAAUACGUGGUUUGCCCUUUUUGGAAUUUUAAUGAAUUUUGCUUGGUUUCAGCCUGAGAUUCUAGAAAUGAGCAUACGGAUUCAUUUGGGGGAUGGGGGUUUAUUGGGUAUGCCAGUAAAAGUUAUUAGUACUAAUUUUACUCAAGCUUGACCAAUAAGAUUGUCUAAUGUAUAAUGCAUGGUGACUCUUUUUUUUUUCACCCAUUGACAUGAUCUAUGCAAUGUCAAAGGUGAACUAAAGACUAUUAUUUGUUUAUUUAUAUGGGACAUAUAUUUGGCUUAGGAUUUAUAUUACAAAUUGCACCGCAUAAUACAGCUGGCUACCUCUUGAUUGCAACAGCUGCCACUGUCGCAUUGCACUGCUAUUAUUGAUUUGCAUCAAACUGCAACAAGACUAUGACUACAGUUGCAGUGCAACCUAUAUUUAAAACUCCAUGCUAGUUGUUGUCGUAUGAGUAUUAGAUUGUUGAUGAAGAAUAUAAAUUACUAAUGGAAUUUAUUAAUAGUUUCUAUAUUUCUUCGUUGUGGUUGAUAGUUUUUAUACUUUUGAGUUGAUAUGUUUUUGUUAUACUUUGUUGUUUCAGCACAAAAAUUAUUUUGUGGAACAAAAGUUAGCAUUGUUAAUUAAUGAAAAGCGAAGGAAGAAGUUAAUACUAAUUGACCAUUUGAUAUUGAUUUUGACGUAUGGCGAAUGGACGAAAGGGUCAGGAAGCUGCAGCCAAAUAUUGUCACUCUCAAUGCAUUGGUUGAUGGUAUGUGUAAACAUGGGAGAGUCCAUAGAGCAGUUGAGUUUUUCAACGAGAUGAAAGGGAAGGGCAUGAAAGGGAAUGCUGCUACUUAUACUGCAUUGAUAUUUGCUUUCUGUGGUGUGAACAAUAUUCAUAAAUUAUUUAAAUUAUAUAGAAGAGAUGGAGUUUUUGUCACUAAUUAUCAUACAUCUUUUAGCAUGAGAAGUUUCAUCACUUCAAUUUUUAUGGAAGAGAUGGAUCUAUAACCUCCCUGACCUGAUUUGGUUUGGUUAUUGGUCUCUUUGUAGCUUACACCCAACUUAGAGAGGUUGGGAAUUGGUGAAACAGAACUGAAGAUGAUUUGGCGUGGAGAACUACAAGGAAAUUUCUCACACAAGUUAAAAUCUAUUAGUUUGUUGAUCUUUCAUGUUGAGUCUAAUGUAUUUCCAUAUAGAUUUCUACAAGUGCCUAAUAUAGAGGAGCUUUGGGUGGGUUGAAGUUCUUUCAAAAGGAGAUUUUCUGCUUUCAAGGUCCUAAUGUGGAUGAUAUUGGAUCACUGAAACUGAGAAUUACUCUUGGAGUCCCUUCCAGAGCUCGUUUCCUUUGACUUGGAAAACUUAUGGAUUGAGUCCUUUCUCAAAAAUUUAGAACACUUGAAAGUAAAUUGUUGUUCCCAUUUAAAAAACUUGGCACCAUCCUCCAUAUGUUUCUCCGAACAGGUGUAUUUGACUGUAUUUAAAUGCCAUGGAUCGGUAAACUUAUUCACAUCCUCCGCAGCCAAAAGUUUAUCCAACCCAAAAUAAUGAUGGUAACAAGGUGUGAAUUCAUUAAAGAGAUAGUGUAUAAGGAAGGGGAUGAAUCAAACGAAGAAGAGAUAAUAUUUCCGCUCCUCAAUUGUUUGAUUCUUGAAUAUUUACCAAACCUCGUAUGCUUCUACAGGGGGAAUUUAAUGGAAACUUUAUGUACAGGCUAAGACUCCAUUGUUGCAGUAAGAAGAUAUCGAUGACAAAGAGGGCUUGAUGAAGAUGAACAAAGUGGCCGUGUUUUACUACAUACGUUUGUUUUGUGUUUUAGAAAGAAAGUGUGAGGUUCAAUUGUGUUAUAUAUUACGUAAUGUGUGUGAUGAUAUAUAAGUGAUUAUUAACAUUCAUGAAGAACAAAGAUGAAGUAAUGAUGUGUCCACCAAGUAUUGACUGCAUAUUGUUUUAUGCAUUGACAAAAACAUAAAAAGAAAAGGUGUGUUUUAUGUUA